rnacentral:rRNA from 1 species
AUAGUUUGAUCCUGGCUCAAAACAAACGCUGGCGGCAGGCUUAACACAUGCAAGUCGAGCGCCCUGCUUGCUGGUAGCGGCAUACGGGCGACUAACGCCUGGGAACCUACCUGGGGGUAUGCAAUAACCCAGGGAAACUUGUGCUAAUACCAUAUAAACCCCCCUUUGCAUACCUUGGCGGUGAAAAAUUUAUCGCCAUCAAAGGGGCCUCCUCUUGAUAACUACCUUUUUGAGAUAACUCCUCUCCUGAGUAACUAUUCAUAGCUGUACAGACCUGAUGAUCCGACACUCUGGACCUGACAUAAGAGCCAUAUUCCUCAGACAGGCACUGAGACUCAAUCCAUACUCCUACGCGAAGGCCCUGAUUGAGCAAUCUCUGCAUAAUGUGACUAAAGCCUGUAUCCAUUAUACUGCUCUUUGUCAGGAGUGAAUGAUCUUCGCCAUUGUCCUACUUUCAGUAAUCGUACGGGACUAAAUUUCACUUUUGGCUUAAUCACCCAUAAUUCCCUUUAGAGCGGUUACCUUCUCUUACUGAAAGACUCUCCUUUAUUAUAUUUCCAAUCGCGCGGCUUAAGCUAUUGUAUUUAAUUAUCUGUAUAGGGGGCUAAAGAUAUUUAUUUACGCAAUCUCACUUGCGGGUAAUGAACGGUUUCCCUUAAUGUCUUUUCCCUUAUAAAAUUCCAAUGGUGGAAAAAUCCC